UUCUGUUUUUUUUAUGUGACGCUUUGUGAUGUGCUAGAAAUAGUACCUUUAAAUCGCAAGCGCACGAUCACCGUUUUAAUAUAAUUAGAUUCGUCCACAGAGAUUAAAAAUAUUUUCGCAAAUCUUUACUUAAAACCUAGGCGGAAUAGAACAAUUAAUUUGGAAUUUUGAGGAUAUAUUUUUUACAAAUUCAAGAAUUAAGAAGUAAAAUUAAUUUGAAAAACAUCUAGUAUGAAAUCCUUGGAAAAAGAAAACAAAGUGAAGUUUCAAAUUUCAUUUAUAAAUUAAGUAUACAAUGCAGCAUAAUUCGUUUUGAAAACAAAAUGCACCCAAAAGAAGUCAACGAAGAUUAUGACUAAAAGAAAACUAAUACUAGCAAAUAAAUCGGCUGUGCCUCCACUCAAACACCAAUAAUAAACAUACUUUCGUUUAUUAAACAACACCACGAUUAAUCAGUAAAAACACCACUUCAACAACUCACAGUAUUCAGCAAUCAUAUUAAAAUAGCUUGCUCUAAAACGGAACGAAACAGCAUGGCAAAUGUGACUCGAUGACUCAGUAACAAACAUGAACUCGGCCGUGACUCAGGACAGACCCAGUCGACUCAGUACUCGACGAAAUCGAACUCAAACCAACAAAACUACAAAACCCAGCAUAAUCAAACUUAACUCAGCAAAGAAAACAGAGCAUGGCGACACAGACCUGACUCAAAUGCAGCGGCCAGACUCGACAAAACUCGUAAACAGAGCAAGAUUCAGCAGUUUAAAACUCGGAACAAACUCGACUCAGAACAGACUAAACGCAACAACUCUGUAAAAACGACAAAACAGGACUCGGCGACUCAGUAAAUCGCAGCAAACAAAACCCAACAGAACAGAACUAACAACAAAAACGAAGCAAAAAGGACUAAACUCGGUAAAGGACAGCAACGAAAUCGGCCAAGUGACUCAGCACAAAGACCCAACUCGGAUUCAUCGACAACAGGGGAACUCGUACACGACCCAUCAAAAGAAAGAAAAACGCAGCAAAGAUGGGGAGUCGGCGACAAUAGAAAACAGCAAAUAAGACAACGAAACUUCGGAAAGCAAAAUCUGCAAACUAACGACUCGGUGUAAACUUGUGGUUACACAGUAUUUAAUUCGGUGGAAGUAAAAGAAAAAUGGUGUUGGUUUUUAGAAAGAAGACAGAGCAUGAGUAUGUUUUUGUUUUAAUACAUGAUGAUUAAAGAAAACUAAUCUGAUUAAAUCUAUAGAAAAGUGGUUGCUACAUGUUUUAAAAGAAAAUUCACUGCCGAAUUAAAGUAACUUGUAACAUUAAAAUUUAAAGUCAAACCCCCACACAAAUCAUUUUUGUGCUAGAGUUUUAACGACUAAUCUAGGCAAUCAUAAAAUCUACACUAAUUAGGAGGCUUCUCCCAUUCCCAAAAGCCCUUAAGCAUAUGGUGGUACUAAGGAGAAUAUGCCACUUGGAGCAAGAAAAAUAGAGACAAUACAAGAUUAAGCUAAAAGAAGAUUUGCACUAAAAUAAAAGUGUUUACAAAUGUGGUAUGAAAAUGAGAGAACAAAAGAAGAUCUAGCACUAUACUACCUACUAACUAGGAAAAAACUAGGUUAAAAAAAUUGUGAUUACAAGUAAAGGGGGUGGGGGUAUUUAUAGCUAGAAAUGUAGGGUUUAGGGGUAGGGUGGCUAAAUCUAAUCCAUCCAUGUGUGAUGUGUGUUGGGUAGAUCAUAGCCCUCCAUGUGCCCCUUAGUUGCCAACUCUCUUUAUUUCUUCUUUUCUUUUCCUUUUCUCCAUUUUCUUGCAUUUUCUCUUCUUUCUUUAUUUAUCUACAAUUUCCUGAAAUAAAAUAAAUAAGCGAUUAAUACUACGAAAAUAAACAAAAAAUAGGCACUUAAAUAUGCAAAAAUAUGGACUAAUCAAACUUCCCCAUACCUAUCUUUUGCUCGUCCUCGAGUAAAAAUCAAAAGAAAAGAAAAUAAACUAAGAAAACUAGAUGCGAUUCCUAGGCUCCUUUUCGUAGGCGUGACGGGUGAUUUUAGGUUCACCAACCCGUUAAACUCGUAGACGAUCUCUACAAGAGGAGUUUUGUCUCCUAAGGGUUUACAGAAGAUAUACCCAUAAAAUCUUCGAGACAUUCUAGCAAGUGUCUACUCGACUCGACUCUUAUUUCGUUGGUGUUAACAAAAAGCGUUUUUUAAAGAAAAUACGACUCAAAGACUCUUUUACUAAUAAUCAAGAUACAGUUGUCUCUAAUCUACUUGAAUCGACACAAAAAAAAAUUUACUAGAAAUCCAAGGUGUGUAAUGAAUUUAAGGCCUUUGAUGGAUCCUAAUCAUCUAAGAACAUUUUCUCUUUUUCAACCAAUUUUGAACUGACCCAAUCUCUAUCGAAACAAAUAUCUAGCCAAACUUCACAAACUCUUAUUCCUUUCUUUUUUUCUUUUUCUUUUUUCUUCUUUUUUUUUUUUUUUUUUUUUUUUUUUUUUUUUUUUUNNNNNNNNNNNNUAGCGAGCUUUGGGUCAGUGACUCCAAACCAAACGGUCUUAGGGCACUAGGUUUUGAAAUCCCCCUACGGACUUAAUUGCUCGAGUAACAAAGGCCACAAAACGAGACUAGCCAAUCUACUUUUGCCCAUUUAUCUAAAGAUUUUAUCGAUAAAGAACAAUGGGUAUUGAAGUAGUUAUUCCUUUUCUUCCUUUUUUUUUUCUAUCUUUUUUUAUCUCUUUUUUUUUUAUUCGCAAAGGUUCGAUUCGACAUUGUUUCAACAUGUGGGUUCUCUCUCAGGUAUCGAAUAAUAUCACUAGACAAUCUCUCCAUCAAAGGUCUUGUGCAAAUGUGUGUGCCAUCUUGGAAUUACGAGUACAAAUCGGUCGAUACAAGUUUCAAAAAGACAACCUUACUCAACUACGUUCAAAUUAUCUAAAAGACACUACAUAUAUAUACUUUUCGAAAACAUGCUAAACACCAACUACUCCUAAAGUUCGAGUGAAGGAAAGACAACUUAGCUAAAAGUGUCUCUAUUUUUGGAUUUUCUAAUUUUUCAUUUUUUUAGGAUUUUCAUUUUUUAGAAUUACACUAAAGCCCUCCCCAUACCUAAAUCAUGCAUUGUCCUCAAUGUAUGCAAAAGAGAGAAUUAAAAUGAGAGAGUAAAGAGGAAAAUUUAUUAACGAACGAAACACUAACACGACCCACACACUCACACAUUUCUUUCCCCAUACCUGAACUUCAUGAGGGAAGGCUCUGAGAAAGAAGCAAAUCAGCCAAUUCCGGAAGGAAAGAUGGGAGGAAGCUUCGAGAAAGAGUCAAAAUGUGUUCGAAAAUUUUUAGGCACAAAAACUUUCUCUAGCAUAUGACCAUCGUUCAUCCCUAUAGGACAAGUAUUACUAACAUUCUCCCUAAACCAACUUAAUGCUUCUUUAUUAUCAAGCAAAUUAGAGACUAUGAAAUCUUGGUUAAGGGACAAAUCACUAGGAACGAUGUAAGAAAUGAUGUCAUCCUCCCCUAAAGCUCUAUGUGAAUGAGGGAACAAUGAGUCAAAUGUUGGUGUUUCCCCAACAUGACUCGCAAAAUCGGGCCUAGGGUCAACACGAACAAUCUCGGGCGGAGUUUCCCAUUUUGAACAAAUGUCGUUUAAUUCUCCUAACAACUCCUCCGAGGUCAACUCUUUCAACGACUCAUGAUAUUCCCUAUUGUUCUCGUUGUUGACUUUGAAAUCCUCGUUGAGAAGAGACUCAAUCUCACUAUCCUCAAAACUAGACCAUGUGACAAACUUGUUGACCACAUUAACCCCUAUAGGUUGCUCAUAAAGCUCAUUGGGUUCUUUUCCUACGUUAAACAUGUUUAAAUCAAUGGUCAUGUUUCCAAAUGUGAGCUUCAUAGAACCAUUCCGACAAUUGAUUAAGGCAUUGGAUGUAGCAAGAAAAGGUCGUCCUAAAAUUAUAGGAAUUUGGUUCUUCGGAUUCGAGACGGGUUGAGUCUCGAGAACAACAAAGUCCACGGGAAAGAUAAAAUCACCUAUUUUGAUCAAAACGUCCUCAAUAAUCCCCUUUGGCAUUUUAAUGGAACGAUCGGCAAGUUGAAGGGUCAUAUUGGUGGACUUGAGAUCCCCUAAACCUAGGGCUUGAUAGACCGAGAAAGGAAGAAGAUUCACACUCGCUCCUAAAUCAAGUAAAGCUUUAUCCACAAAAGUAUUGCCUAUGACACAAGAAAUUGUAGGACAACCGGGGUCCUUAUAUUUCACGGGAAUUUGAUUCGAGAGAAUCGAGCUUACUUGAGAGGUCAAAAAGGCUUUCUUAGGAACAUGAGUGGUUCUCUUAUGGGUACACAAAUCUUUUAGACACUUAGCAUAAGAAGGAACUUGUUGAAUGGCAUCUAAAAGAGGAAUGUUUAUCUUGACUUGUUUGAAAACCUCUAGAAUUUGUUCCAUUUGGGCCGAUUGUUUAGGGCGAAUGAGUCUUUGUGGGUAAGGAACCUUUGGCUUAUAAACUUCUUCGUUGGGCUUUUGAGAAAUGGGCCCAGGACUAGGUUCACUCAUAGACUCACGGACUCUAGAACAUUCGGGCUUAUCCGGAAUAAGAUUCGACAAAGAAAGAUUUGGUUCAGGAAUCGACUCGAUUUGCUCCAUUUGGGCCGAUUGUUUAGGAGGAAUGAGUCUUUGUGGGUAAGGAACCCUUGGCUUAUAAACUUCUUCAUUGGGCUUUUGAGAAAUGGGCCCGGGACUAGGUUCACUCAUAUACUCACGGGCUUUUGAACAUUCGGGCUUAUCAUGAUUAGUGCUAGACAAAGAAGGAUUUUGUUUAGGAAUCGACUCCUCAUUUUCAUUCACGUUCUCACCAACUUUGUUAUCCACUUGGUUUCCCGACCUUAGAGAGAUAAUUGCAUUAACAUUCUCGGGAGGUCUUUGAUUGAGAGGAAACUUAGGAUUGACCUCGGGUUGACUUGGAAUUUGUUUUUCUCGCGCUCACACAACGUGCUAGCUAAUUGACUCAAUUGGGCCUCUAACUUAGAAACGGCUUGCACGUUAGAAUGCAAGAUUUGCCUAUCUUGGGUUAGGGUUGUCAUGAAAGUUUGUUGUGAUUGGGUCAAAUUAGUUUGCGAUUUCACUAAGGCUUCCAAACUCUUUUCUAAGGAAUUGAGGCGUUUAUCCGAAUCAUUGAAACCGGGAGGAUUCAAAGGAGUUUGAAUUGGGUUAUGACAUGAAUUUGGACCUUGAUUUGGGUAAGAGUUUGGGUUGGGCCUUUGUUGAAAAUUUGGUUGAGGAGUUGGAAAAGAAUUUGGCCCUUGAUUUUGAAAAAUUUGACCUUGGGUCCAUGAGAAAUUUGGGUGAUUUCUCCACCCGGGAUUAUAAGUGGGUGCAAACGCAUCAUUCCUAGGAUUUUGAAACAUCGCAUUUACUUGUUCAAGUUCGUGCGAAGGUUGGGUUCCGGGAUUUUGAAAAUUGUAAUUAGGGAGCAUCGACAUUUGUGGGGGAGAUUUACUAGUUUCUAAAGCUUCAAGUCUCCUAGUUAGGGUGGCUAGUUUGGCAUCGGUUGCCACAUUAUUUCCUAUCGAAUGCAAGCCCCUAGCGCUAGAUGACUGAAUUGACUUUUUGGGCUCCCUAGUUGACUCCCACAUCAUAGUCUUUUCCGCUAAAUCCUCGAAAAAUUCCCACCCUUGAUCCUCAUCUUUUUCCAUGAAUUUACCUUGGCACAUAGACUCUAAUAACGCGGUGGUUUGACUAUCUAAGGCCUCGUAAACUAUCUUGCAAAGUCUCCAUUUUUCUAUUCCGUGGUGGGGGCAUUGUGAGAGAAGAUUUUUGAAGCGGUCAAAGAAAAUCCAAAAAGACUCAUUUUCCUUUUGAUGAAAUUGAUUUAUUUCAUUUGUAAUUCGAGUAGUCUUAUGAUUUGGAAAAUACUUUUUAAGAAACACCACAACGAACCCCUCCCACGUGGAAAUAGAAUUAACGGGAAGACUAUAUAACCAUUUUUUCGCAUUCUCCUUAAGCGCAAAAUUAAUGAGCCUAAGUCUAAUCGAAUCUUCCGUUAAUUGGUGGAGCUUUUGGAGGGAACAAACUUCCUCGAACUCUUGGAUAAAAAGAUAAGGAUCCUCACCCUCACUCCCGGUAAAUUUAGGUAACAUGCUAAUGUGGUGAGCUUUGAUUUCAAAAUUGUUCCCAUUAACGGGAGGAAGGGUGAUGCACGAAGGUUGACUUGAACGAGAUGGAUAACAACGAUCCUUGAGUGAAAGGGCCAUGUUUACUAUCGGUUCUAGAACUUCUAGGGUUUCGGAAUCCGAAGAGGACGAGGGAAUCUCGAUUAUAGGUCUUACUAAUCUAGACGAUUCGUUCCUAACCCAAGUAGUUCGCAUAAACUAGAUAGUAAACACGUAGCAAGUAAGUGCGAAAAAUUAAAACACACAAAAGAAAGGGUGUAAAAGAGAAAGAAAAACCUAAAUCUAGGGUUCCCUAAAAAAAAUGAACUAGACCUUGCUCCUAACGUUAAGGACCACCAAAAACUCGAUAAAUCCAAAAUUAUUCGGACCGGUUUGGCCAGUUUGGAGCAGGCAUUGCCAAGAGGCCAAUCUCCGCGCUUAGACACCAAACCUUAAUCGGCCAGGUAAGCUUUCGCUUGCCUUAGACACCGAAAAGUCGGAAUAAUUAAAGAUUACCUCGUCUUUUAGGUACCUUCCUAGUUGAGCGCGAAAUCCUAGGGGCUAACGUCUAAUUCAAUUUUAUUAAAAGGCUAGGGAAUGCAAAAUGAAGAAUUAAGUCGUUGUGGGCCAAGGAAAGAGUGAUGAAAUCCCUCCCCUUAUCUUGUGAUUGGGUUUUGCCCUUAAGAUUUAUUUAAAAUGAUGCACCACACAACGAUAUAAUAAAAGCGGUAAACAAAUAGGGAUGAAUUAAACUACGUGUCCUAAUCUAGAGAAAAGAAAGAAAUUAACGCACCUUAGGGUCCUCCAGCGAUCACCACAAAUAGGUACGAAAAUUUAAAAACAAAAAGUAAAAUCUAAAUGAUGUGCNNNNNNNNNNNNNNNNNNNNNNNNNNNNNNNNNNNNNNNNNNNNNNNNNNNNNNNNNNNNNNNNNNNNNNNNNNNNNNNNNNNNNNNNNNNNNNNNNNNNNNNNNNNNNNNNNNNNNNGAAUACUCUUCCUCGAAAUAAAAACAAAAAGUGAGAAAACAAACUAAUCCGAAAGAUUAAAAAUGAAGGUGCGAAAAAUUAAUUAUAAUCCCCGGCAGCGGCGCCAAAAACUUGAUGUGCUAGAAAUAGUACCUUUAAAUCGCAAGCGCACGAUCACCGUUUUAAUAUAAUUAGAUUCGUCCACAGAGAUUAAAAAUAUUUUCGCAAAUCUUUACUUAAAACCUAGGCGGAAUAGAACAAUUAAUUUGGAAUUUUGAGGAUAUAUUUUUUACAAAUUCAAGAAUUAAGAAGUAAAAUUAAUUUGAAAAACAUCUAGUAUGAAAUCCUUGGAAAAAGAAAACAAAGUGAAGUUUCAAAUUUCAUUUAUAAAUUAAGUAUACAAUGCAGCAUAAUUCGUUUUGAAAACAAAAUGCACCCAAAAGAAGUCAACGAAGAUUAUGACUAAAAGAAAACUAAUACUAGCAAAUAAAUCGGCUGUGCCUCCACUCAAACACCAAUAAUAAACAUACUUUCGUUUAUUAAACAACACCACGAUUAAUCAGUAAAAACACCACUUCAACAACUCACAGUAUUCAGCAAUCAUAUUAAAAUAGCUUGCUCUAAAACGGAACGAAACAGCAUGGCAAAUGUGACUCGAUGACUCAGUAACAAACAUGAACUCGGCCGUGACUCAGGACAGACCCAGUCGACUCAGUACUCGACGAAAUCGAACUCAAACCAACAAAACUACAAAACCCAGCAUAAUCAAACUUAACUCAGCAAAGAAAACAGAGCAUGGCGACACAGACCUGACUCAAAUGCAGCGGCCAGACUCGACAAAACUCGUAAACAGAGCAAGAUUCAGCAGUUUAAAACUCGGAACAAACUCGACUCAGAACAGACUAAACGCAACAACUCUGUAAAAACGACAAAACAGGACUCGGCGACUCAGUAAAUCGCAGCAAACAAAACCCAACAGAACAGAACUAACAACAAAAACGAAGCAAAAAGGACUAAACUCGGUAAAGGACAGCAACGAAAUCGGCCAAGUGACUCAGCACAAAGACCCAACUCGGAUUCAUCGACAACAGGGGAACUCGUACACGACCCAUCAAAAGAAAGAAAAACGCAGCAAAGAUGGGGAGUCGGCGACAAUAGAAAACAGCAAAUAAGACAACGAAACUUCGGAAAGCAAAAUCUGCAAACUAACGACUCGGUGUAAACUUGUGGUUACACAGUAUUUAAUUCGGUGGAAGUAAAAGAAAAAUGGUGUUGGUUUUUAGAAAGAAGACAGAGCAUGAGUAUGUUUUUGUUUUAAUACAUGAUGAUUAAAGAAAACUAAUCUGAUUAAAUCUAUAGAAAAGUGGUUGCUACAUGUUUUAAAAGAAAAUUCACUGCCGAAUUAAAGUAACUUGUAACAUUAAAAUUUAAAGUCAAACCCCCACACAAAUCAUUUUUGUGCUAGAGUUUU
rnacentral:lncRNA from 1 species